UUCUUGGCUGCAGGCCAGAGGAACGGUUCUCUUUCGCGCCUCCCUCCUCCUGGUGUGUGGAAAUGUUGGAAGACAAUUCGUAGUGGAGUGGAGGUGGUGACCCUCAGCCCACGUGUCAGUGUCUUCAAGGAGAGAUGGCCUGGUUUAUUCAAUGAGGCUCAGAUCAAGGAGGAGUUCCGACACAUAACAACUCUUUCACUGGAAGAGACUUUGAUGCUGAAACUGGAUGGGUA